rnacentral:rRNA from 1 species
AGGACGAACGCUGGCGGCGUGCUUAACACAUGCAAGUCGAGCGGAAAGGCCCUUCGGGGUACUCGAGCGGCGAACGGGUGAGUAACACGUGAGUAACCUGCCCCUAGCUCUGGGAUAGCUCCGGGAAACCGGGAUUAAUACCAGAUACGACCACUUUAGACAUCUGUCGUGGUGGAAAGGAUUCCGGCUAGGGAUGGGCUCGCGGCCUAUCAGCUUGUUGGUGGGGUAACGGCCUACCAAGGCGACGACGGGUAGCCGGCCUGAGAGGGCGACCGGCCACACUGGGACUGAGACACGGCCCAGACUCCUACGGGAGGCAGCAGUGGGGAUAUUGCGCAAUGGGCGAAAGCCUGACGCAGCGACGCCGCGUGGGGAUGAAGGCCUUCGGGUUGUAAACCCCUUUCAGCAGGGACGAAGCGAAAGUGACGGUACUGCAGAAGAAGCGCCGGCUAACUACGCGCCAGCAGCCGCGA